rnacentral:rRNA from 1 species
CACUAUCGUUAACUGAAUACAUAGGUUAACGAGGCGAACCGGGGGAACUGAAACAUCUAAGUACCCCGAGGAAAAGAAAUCAACCGAGAUUCCCCCAGUAGCGGCGAGCGAACGGGGAGCAGCCCAGAGUCUGAAUCAGCUUGUGUGUUAGUGGAACGGUCUGGAAAGUCCGACGGUACAGGGUGAUAGUCCCGUACACCAAAAUGCACAGGUUGUGAACUCGAAGAGUAGGGCGGGACACGUGGUAUCCUGUCUGAAUAUGGGGGGACCAUCCUCCAAGGCUAAAUACUCCUGACUGACCGAUAGUGAACCAGUACCGUGAGGGAAAGGCGAAAAGAACCCCGGCGAGGGGAGUGAAAAAGAACCUGAAACCGUGUACGUACAAGCAGUGGGAGCACCUUCGGGUGUGACUGCGUACCUUUUGUAUAAUGGGUCAGCGACUUAUAUUCUGUAGCAAGGUUAACCGUAUAGGGGAGCCGCAGGGAAACCGAGUCUUAACUGGGCGUUAAGUUGCAGGGUAUAGACCCGAAACCCGGUGAUCUAGCCAUGGGCAGGUUGAAGGUUGGGUAACACUAACUGGAGGACCGAACCGACUAAUGUUGAAAAAUUAGCGGAUGACUUGUGGCUGGGGGUGAAAGGCCAAUCAAACCGGGAGAUAGCUGGUUCUCCCCGAAAGCUAUUUAGGUAGCGCCUCGUGAACUCAUCUUCGGGGGUAGAGCACUGUUUCGGCUAGGGGGUCAUCCCGACUUACCAACCCGAUGCAAACUACGAAUACCGAAGAAUGUUAUCACGGGAGACACACGGCGGGUGCUAACGUCCGUCGUGAAGAGGGAAACAACCCAGACCGCCAGCUAAGGUCCCAAAGUCAUGGUUAAGUGGGAAACGAUGUGGGAAGGCACAGACAGCCAGGAUGUUGGCUUAGAAGCAGCCAUCAUUUAAAGAAAGCGUAAUAGCUCACUGGUCGAGUCGGCCUGCGCGGAAGAUGUAACGGGGCUAAACCAUGCACCGAAGCUGCGGCAGCGACACUAUGUGUUGUUGGGUAGGGGAGCGUUCUGUAAGCCUGCGAAGGUGGCCUGUGAGGGUUGCUGGAGGUAUCAGAAGUGCGAAUGCUGACAUAAGUAACGAUAAAGCGGGUGAAAAGCCCGCUCGCCGGAAGACCAAGGGUUCCUGUCCAACGUUAAUCGGGGCAGGGUGAGUCGACCCCUAAGGCGAGGCCGAAAGGCGUAGUCGAUGGGAAACAGGUUAAUAUUCCUGUACUUGGUGUUACUGCGAAGGGGGGACGGAGAAGGCUAUGUUAGCCGGGCGACGGUUGUCCCGGUUUAAGCAUGUAGGCGGAGGUUCCAGGUAAAUCCGGUACCUUUUAACGCUGAGGUGUGAUGACGAGGCACUACGGUGCUGAAGUAACAAAUGCCCUGCUUCCAGGAAAAGCCUCUAAGCAUCAGGUAACAUUAAAUCGUACCCCAAACCGACACAGGUGGUCAGGUAGAGAAUACCAAGGCGCUUGAGAGAACUCGGGUGAAGGAACUAGGCAAAAUGGUGCCGUAACUUCGGGAGAAGGCACGCUGGUGUGUAGGUGAAGUCCCUGCGGAUGGAGCUGAGACCAGUCGAAGAUACCAGCUGGCUGCAACUGUUUAUUAAAAACACAGCACUGUGCAAACACGAAAGUGGACGUAUACGGUGUGACGCCUGCCCGGUGCCGGAAGGUUAAUUGAUGGGGUUAUCCGUAAGGAGAAGCUCUUGAUCGAAGCCCCGGUAAACGGCGGCCGUAACUAUAACGGUCCUAAGGUAGCGAAAUUCCUUGUCGGGUAAGUUCCGACCUGCACGAAUGGCGUAAUGAUGGCCAGGCUGUCUCCACCCGAGACUCAGUGAAAUUGAACUCGCUGUGAAGAUGCAGUGUACCCGCGGCAAGACGGAAAGACCCCGUGAACCUUUACUAUAGCUUGACACUGAACAUUGAGCCUUGAUGUGUAGGAUAGGUGGGAGGCUUUGAAGCGUGGACGCCAGUCUGCGUGGAGCCAACCUUGAAAUACCACCCUUUAAUGUUUGAUGUUCUAACGUUGGCCCGUAAUCCGGGUUGCGGACAGUGUCUGGUGGGUAGUUUGACUGGGGCGGUCUCCUCCCAAAGAGUAACGGAGGAGCACGAAGGUUAGCUAAUCCUGGUCGGACAUCAGGAGGUUAGUGCAAUGGCAUAAGCUAGCUUGACUGCGAGCGUGACGGCGCGAGCAGGUGCGAAAGCAGGUCAUAGUGAUCCGGUGGUUCUGAAUGGAAGGGCCAUCGCUCAACGGAUAAAAGGUACUCCGGGGAUAACAGGCUGAUACCGCCCAAGAGUUCAUAUCGACGGCGGUGUUUGGCACCUCGAUGUCGGCUCAUCACAUCCUGGGGCUGAAGUAGGUCCCAAGGGUAUGGCUGUUCGCCAUUUAAAGUGGUACGCGAGCUGGGUUUAGAACGUCGUGAGACAGUUCGGUCCCUAUCUGCCGUGGGCGCUGGAGAAUUGAGGGGGGCUGCUCCUAGUACGAGAGGACCGGAGUGGACGCAUCACUGGUGUUCGGGUUGUCAUGCCAAUGGCACUGCCCGGUAGCUAAAUGCGGAAGAGAUAAGUGCUGAAAGCAUCUAAGCACGAAACUUGCCCCGAGAUGAGUUCUCCCUGAGACUUUAAGUCUCCUGAAGGAACGUUGAAGACGACGACGUUGAUAGGCCGGGUGUGUAAGCGCAGCGAUGCGUUGAGCUAACCGGUACUAAUGAACCGUGAGGCUUAACCUU